GUGACCUCAAAUCAGGUAGGACUACCCGCUGAACUUAAGCAUAUCAAUAAGCGGAGGAAAAGAAACUAACAAGGAUUCCCCUAGUAACUGCGAGUGAAGCGGGAAAAGCUCAAAUUUAAAAUCUGGCGGUCUUUUGGCUGUCCGAGUUGUAAUCUAGAGAAGUGUUAUCCGCGCUGGACCGUGUACAAGUCUCCUGGAAUGGAGCAUCAUAGAGGGUGAGAAUCCCGUCUUUGACAUGGACUGCCAGGGCUUUGUGAUGCGCUCUCAAAGAGUCGAGUUGUUUGGGAAUGCAGCUCAAAAUGGGUGGUAAAUUCCAUCUAAAGCUAAAUAUUGGCGAGAGACCGAUAGCGAACAAGUACCGUGAGGGAAAGAUGAAAAGAACUUUGGAAAGAGAGUUAAACAGUACGUGAAAUUGCUGAAAGGGAA
rnacentral:rRNA from 1 species